UAGGGAAUCUUCGGCAAUGGGGGCAACCCUGACCGAGCAACGCCGCGUGAGUGAAGAAGGUUUUCGGAUCGUAAAGCUCUGUUGUAAGAGAAGAACGUGUGUGAGAGUGGAAAGUUCACACAGUGACGGUAACUUACCAGAAAGGGACGGCUAACUACGUGCCAGCAGCCGCGGUAAUACGUAGGUCCCGAUCGUUGUCCGGAUUUAUUGGGCGUAAAGCGAGCGCAGGCGGUUUAAUAAGUCUGAAGUUAAAGGCAGUGGCUUAACCAUUGUUCGCUUUGGAAACUGUUAAACUUGAGUGCAGAAGGGGAGAGUGGAAUUCCAUGUGUAGCGGAGAAAUGCGUAGAUAUAUGGAGGAACACCGGUGGCGAAAGCGGCUCUCUGGUCUGUAACUGACGCUGAGGCUCGAAAGCGUGGGGAGCAAACAGG
rnacentral:rRNA from 1 species